UACGGGGGGAGCAAGCGUUGUUCGGAUUUACUGGGCGUAAAGGGCGCGUAGGCGGUCAGCACAAGUCGGUUGUGAAAUCUCCGAGCUUAACUCGGAAAGGUCAACCGAAACUGUGCGACUAGAGUGCAGAAGGGGCAACUGGAAUUCUUGGUGUAGCGGUGAAAUGCGUAGAGAUCAGGAAGAACACCGGUGGCGAAGGCGCUCUGCUAGGCCGUAACUGACACUGAGGGACGAAAGCUAGGGGAGCGAAUGGG
rnacentral:rRNA from 1 species